rnacentral:rRNA from 1 species
UACGUAGGUGGCAAGCGUUGUCCGGAUUUAUUGGGUUAAAGGGUGCGUAGGCGGCCCCGUAAGUCAGUGCUGAAAUAUCCCGGCUUAACCGGGAGGGUGGCAUUGAUACUGCAGGGCUUGAGUAAAGUUGAGGUAGGCGGAAUUGACGGUGUAGCGGUGAAAUGCUUAGAUAUCGUCAAGAACACCGAUAGUGUAGACAGCUUACUAGCUUAACUGACGCUGAGGCACGAAAGUGUGGGGAUCAAACGGG